CGUUUUGAAGCUCGUCUGAUGAUGAUGGCGAUGAUGACAGACUAUUUUGACAUGGCACCUUAUGCAUAUGCCACUUCAUGGACAAUUCAUUAAAAUAAUGUAGGGUGAGCCACUGACUGACUAGACUCCUACUUCAUCACCCAGACAAAUAAGUAACUUUUCUGUGCUGUAGUUACAGGCCUCUUUUUUUUUUUUUCCUCAAGUCAGGUCCAGACUCAUUUAAUUAGAGAAGAGAAGCUGAUGUGAUGACUGAUGAUGUGGGCAAAGGUGUUAUGAGAGGGAGCGAAGACAGAGAGGCUUCUUUCAAAGGUGUCUCCGUUUCCCUCUUCAGCAUCUCAUCCAGCUCUCUCACUACUCAGAGUUUUGUGAGCCUUCUCGGAUUGUUCUCACCAACAUAAAGGAAGAUUGGCACAGUUCUGGUAUUCUUGCUCCCCCAAAGCAGAACUGUGGCUCUAUGAAAUGAUGAGUGGAAUAAAGAGACCCUGCAGACAUCUUCCUGCUCAGCUGCAGCUUGGCCAGCAGAGACACUCUAAGUCAGCUGUUUCUACUUUAGCUGGAGGCUGAUGUUUUCUGUCUGCAGCAGGAAGUUUGGUGGCAAUGAGUAAAUUCACCCCAGUGUUUCCUAGCAGUGAUGCUCUCACUCUGGUAACUUCAGUGCACUUGACCUCAGCAGCCCAAGUUUCACCUGGAAGCCUGAACAAAUUUGGGAACAAAUAGCUUUGGGCAACACCAGCUUAAACUGAAAAUGAAUAAAGGGAAUAAGAAGACUUUCUUUUCUUCUAGUGAAAAUAUUAAUACUACAAUAGGAAGACAGAAGGCAUUUUUUUUUAGUCUACAUAAAGCAAGUGAACGUUUGGAAAGUUCUGCAGUUGUGAAACGCUUGUUAUUACGGCAC
rnacentral:lncRNA from 1 species